CACGCUGUAAACGAUGAGUGCUAGACGUUGGGGGGAGACCUUCAGUGUCGCAGCUAACGCAUUAAGCACUCCGCCUGGGGAGUACGGUCGCAAGAUUAAAACUCAAAGGAAUUGACGGGGGCCCGCACAAGCGGUGGAGCAUGUGGUUUAAUUCGACGCAACGCGAAAAACCUUACCAGCCCUUGACAUGGGUAUUAUGGGUUUCAGAGAUGAGACCCUUCAGUUCGGCUGGAUACCACACAGGUGC
rnacentral:rRNA from 1 species